rnacentral:rRNA from 1 species
GUAGGUGGCAAGCGUUGUCCGGAAUUAUUGGGCGUAAAGCGCGCGCAGGCGGUUUUUUAAGUCUGAUGUGAAAGCCCACGGCUCAACCGUGGAGGGUCAUUGGAAACUGGAGAACUUGAGUACAGAAGAGGAAAGCGGAAUUCCACGUGUAGCGGUGAAAUGCGUAGAGAUGUGGAGGAACACCAGUGGCGAAGGCGGCUUUCUGGUCUGUAACUGACGCUGAGGCGCGAAAGCGUGGGGAGCAAACAGGGAUUAGAUACCCUGGUAGUCCACGCCGUAAACGAUGAGUGCUAAGUGUUAGGGGGGUUUCCCGCCCCCUUAGUGCUGCAGCUAACGCGUUAAGCACUCCGCCUGGGGAGUACGGCCGCAAGGCUG